rnacentral:rRNA from 1 species
UAGCAAUAGGUUGAUGGCGACCGGCGCACGGGUGAGUAACACGUAUCCAACCUACCGGUUAUUCUGGGAUAGCCUUUCGAAAGAAAGAUUAAUACCGGAUAGUAUAACGAGAAGGCAUCUUUUUGUUAUUAAAGAAUUUCGAUAAUCGAUGGGGAUGCGUUCCAUUAGUUUGUUGGCGGGGUAACGGCCCACCAAGACAUCGAUGGAUAGGGGUUCUGAGAGGAAGGUCCCCCACAUUGGAACUGAGACACGGUCCAAACUCCUACGGGAGGCAGCAGUGAGGAAUAUUGGUCAAUGGACGAGAGUCUGAACCAGCCAAGUAGCGUGAAGGAUGACUGCCCUAUGGGUUGUAAACUUCUUUUAUAUGGGAAUAAAGUGAGCCACGUGUGGCUUUUUGUAUGUACCAUACGAAUAAGGAUCGGCUAACUCCGUGCCAGCAGCCGCGGUAAUACGGAGGAUCCGAGCGUUAUCCGGAUUUAUUGGGUUUAAAGGGAGCGUAGGCGGACUAUUAAGUCAGCUGUGAAAGUUUGCGGCUCAACCGUAAAAUUGCAGUUGAUACUGGUCGUCUUGAGUGCAGUAGAGGUAGGCGGAAUUCGUGGUGUAGCGGUGAAAUGCUUAGAUAUCACGAAGAACUCCGAUUGCGAAGGCAGCUUACUGGACUGUAACUGACGCUGAUGCUCGAAAGUGUGGGUAUCAAACAGGAUUAGAUACCCUGGUAGUCCACACAGUAAACGAUGAAUACUCGCUGUUUGCGAUAUACAGCAAGCGGCCAAGCGAAAGCAUUAAGUAUUCCACCUGGGGAGUACGCCGGCAACGGUGAAACUCAAAGGAAUUGACGGGGG